GUUCCCAGUGAUGCAUUAACCAUGCUAAUACUGAUCCUCUGACGAGCAAUAUAUUAUACUGAGGGAAUC
rfam:Brachypodium distachyon strain Bd21 chromosome 2, whole genome shotgun sequence.